CCAAAGCUAAUUAAGCCAACUAUGGUCCUUUCCUCAUGGGGACCUUGUGUGCAAUGGCUGCAAACAGUAACCUCCUUGAUAGUGUAUGCAGCCUGUUGCUUGUAUAGGUAGCUCUAAGGGAUCUUGGAGACAUUC
ensembl:snoRNA SNORA70 Small nucleolar RNA SNORA70